AGGAUGAACGCUGGCGGCGUGCCUAACACAUGCAAGUCGAACGUCCUGUCUCGCAAGAGGCAGGGAGUGGCGGACGGGUGAGUACCACGUGGGUCAUCUACCGUGAGGUGAGGAAUACCGGCGAGAAAUCGCCGACAAGACCGCAUAGGCUCGAUGCAAGUCGAGCAAAGCUCUUUCGAGAGAGGGAGCGCCACACGAGGAGCCUGCGCCCGAUUAGCUAGCUGGUGGAGUAACGGUUCACCAGGGCGACGAUCGGUAGCUGGUCUGAGAGGACGAUCAGCCACACUGGGAUUGAGAACGGCCCAGACUCCUACGGGGGGCAGCAGUGAGGAAUUUUCGUCAAUGGGGGCAACCCUGAACGAGCAACGCCGCGUGCAGGAAGAAGGUUUCGGAUCGUAAACUGCUUUUCUCGGGGUAAGAGAACGGACGGUACCCGAGGAAUCAGCCCGGCUAACUACGUGCCAGCAGCCGCGGU
rnacentral:rRNA from 1 species